CAAACAAGGAACAAAAAAAAAAAAAAAAAAAAAAAAGGAAGAGCUAUCCUAAAGGCUGACUAUGAGUCAGCAAGUCUCCUUAAAGUCUAUUUAAAGGUGAGAACCUGGGGUUAGGAAAAAAAUUAAAUAAGCUGACACAUUUACUUCUCCUAAAUGGUGGAGAUGACAGACUCCUGUGACUUUCCUACACAGCUGGACAUGCAAGCUGGUGAUUUUGUUGCUAUUGUGAAAACAUCCCUGAGAUCAAACGUGACAAAGUUGGGAGAAUUUUCCUGAGAGCCUCAAGCACACUAUGUGACUGAGAUGAUCAAUGCCCUUCAUUGCAUCCCUCAAGAGAUGAUCCACCUUAGCCAAACACUCCGGAUGGACCCCCAGCCUCUUCUCUGAGUCAUCGUGCACUCCCCAGCAUACUGUUGCUUACUAGUUGAGUCAUUUGGAUGGAUGCUGACAGUUGGCUCCAUCUUAGGCAGAGAUAAGAAGUGAUGAGCAACUGAUCAAGCACAGACUCCAACCGGGCAGAACAAAGAAGCCUUUGUGUGGUGUGCAUAUUUUCCCCAGAAAACUGUGCAGACUUAAG
rnacentral:lncRNA from 1 species